ACUGGUAUAAUUUUGCUAGUAUAGUUUAAAGAUAUUUACUUGUUUUCAUAAAGGCCUGGACAUGCGCUUAAUUAUUAAUAAUAGUUCAUUCUCACAACAAGCAUUAUAUUAAUUAUGUUACAAUAUCGCAUGAGAGUGUCUAUUUUCGGAGACGGAUUUUUUCAGGAACUUUAAACUGUUAAAGAUAAAAAUGCAUUCUAUACACAUAUAUAAAUUAUUCUAAAUUUACAUAGAUCUUCUCUUCUACACAUGUUGUCUAUCAGUCACACACUCGCGAGAUAAGCCUACAUCGGUUUACACAGUUUUCCUGUAAUUUGAUAUUUAUUGGGUUAAGAUAGAACAAGUUUAUAAAUACUUUACACAAAGGGAAGGAUCCGCAACGUGGAAAUGUUGGCGGAGUUGAAGAAUCAUACAAAAAUGACGAAACUUGAAAGUUUCAAUUACUGCAUUACUUUUUGGACUUAUUGUAUUAGACUUCCGUCGCCAUAAUAUGAAAUAAAGAUGAUAAAAUACA
rnacentral:lncRNA from 1 species